AGUGAUGUAUGAUCUAAUAAGUAAUGGACAUAUUAUCUUUCUUAGAACAGAGAGGCCUGAAUAGAUGCAGAAUAUUCAUACUUUAAAUUACUCUUUGAUAUUAUUUGUUCUUAGAGGGCAGAACUUUGGAACUCAUUUGCACUUUGUGACUCAUUUGUAGCUCGUUAUCUGGGGACAAUUGUGGAGCUGUGUCAGCUGGAAAGGAAACAGGUGGUAUCUCCAUAGAGACGUGUUGUGUUUUGGUUUAUCUACAGCUAGAUGAAGCAAAUGGAUCUCUACACUCUCUCCCCAGUCUCUGGCUCCCGCCCUGCAGGAUGCAGCUUGGUGUUCUUCGAUUUGGAGACUACAGGACUUGGGCGGUCGUGUGACAUCGUCCAGCUGUCGGCGGUGAGCGGUGGGCACAGCUGCAACCUGUACGUGCUGCCUCGCUGCAGGAUACAGAGCAGAGCGGCUGCCAUCACGGGCUUCAGCGUGCGGAGACGCCGCCUGUACCUGCACGGCCACGCCCUGCCCACCGUGCUGCUCCCACAGGCCCUCGCCGCCUUCCUGGCCUUCCUGCGCAUGCUGGGACGUCCGCUGCUGGUCGGGCACAACGUCCGCAGGUUCGACUGCCGCGUGCUGGCCCGGGCCCUGGACGAGUGGCACCUGAGGGAGGCGUUCCAGGAGGUCACCUCCGGCUUCCUGGACACCCUUCCCCUGGCCCGGGACCUCCUUAAGGGCAGGGGGCAGCAGAGCUUCAGGCAGGAGAGUCUGGUGAAGGCUGUUCUGGGCGUGUCUUACCCGGCACACGAUGCCCUGGAGGACGUCCAAGCGCUGCAGAGGCUGUACCACGCCCUCCUGCCCACUGCAGAGCAGGCCCUCCGACACACCUUCACUCUGGCCAGCAUGGCCGCCCCAGCCAAAAUUCAUUUUUGCGGCCUUCACUGGUGGAAAUGAAAUAAUAACUGCAGCCUGGAGACGAGGAUAUGUCAGACAGAGGGAGGCCGGAACCUGAAGGAGGAAAGAACUGGAGGAAUUCAAAGGCUCUCUUAAGUGGAAAGACUCGGGCUGACCAGGAAGGGAAGGU